GGGAGCGUGGCGGAAUUGGCAUACGCGGAAAGCUCUAAACUUUUUGCCUACGGCAUACGAGUUCGAAUCUCGUCGCUCCCACCA
rnacentral:tRNA from 1 species